rnacentral:rRNA from 1 species
UAAAGCAAGAAAGGGCGUAUGGGGAAUGCCUAGGCACACUCCGGCGAAGAAGGACGCAGCAAACAGCGAAAUGCGACGGUGAGCGGUAAGCACGUGAAGAGCCGUCGAUAUCCGAAUGGGGGAACCCACACGGAGUCAUAUCCGUGUAUCACAUGUCGAAUACAUAGACAUGAUGAGGCGAGACGCAGGGAACUGAAACAUCUAAGUACCUGCAGGAAGAGAAAAUAAGAAUGAUUUUCUGAGUAGCGGCGAGCGAAAGGGAAAGAGCCCAAACCGAUUUUAGGAUCGGGGUAGUAGGAUCAUCGAGGAAUCUGACAGAGGAUCAUAGAGGAAUCACAUGGGAAGGUGAGCGAGAGAGGGUGAGAGCCCCGUACUCGAAAUGAGAGACUGGAGAGAGAUGACACCUGAGUAGGGCGGGACACGAGAAAUCCUGUCUGAAUCAGCCGGGACCAUCCGGCAAGGCUAAAUACGAGAGAGUGACCGAUAGUGAACCAGUACCGUGAGGGAAAGGUGAAAAGAACCCCGGGAGGGGAGUGAAAGAGAACCUGAAACCAUAUGCCUACAAGAAGUCAGAGCCCGUUAAAGGGUGAUGGCGUGCCUUUUGUAGAAUGAACCGGCGAGUUACUGUAUGGAGCGAGGUUAAGCAGGAUAUGCGGAGCCGAAGCGAAAGCGAGUCUUAAGAGGGCGCGAGUUGCAUGCAGUAGACCCGAAACCGGGUGAUCUAGCCAUGACCAGGUUGAAGUUGGGGUAAAACCCGAUGGAGGACCGAACCGACCCCCGUUGAAACGUUGGCGGAUGAGUUGUGGCUAGGGGUGAAAUUCCAAUCGAACCCGGAGAUAGCUGGUUCUCCCCGAAAUAGCUUUAGGGCUAGCGUCGAGAGAAGAGUUGCGUGAAGGUAGAGCACUGAAUAUGUGAUGGCCCCAUCUCGGGGUACUGAGCAUAAUCAAACUGCGAAUGUCACGCCAACAUGCUCGGCAGUCAGACAGCGGGUGAUAAGGUCCGUUGUCAAGAGGGAAACAGCCCAGACCAUCAGCUAAGGUCCCAAAAUGUAUGCUAAGUGGAAAAGGAUGUGGAGAUGUACAGACAACUAGGAGGUUGGCUCAGAAGCAGCCAUCCUUUAAAGAGUGCGUAACAGCUCACUAGUCGAAUGACUCUGCGCCGAUAAUUUACCGGGGCUAAGCAUACUACCGAAGCUAUGGAUCCCAAGGGAUGGUAGGGGAGCGUUCCAUGAACGGAGAAGUACGACCGAAAGGACGUGUGGAGAUCAUGGAAGAGAGAAUGCCGGUGUGAGUAGCGGAACGUGGGUGAGAAUCCCACGCACCGAAAACCCAAGGUUUCCAGAGGAAGGUUCGUCCGCUCUGGGUAAGUCGGGACCUAAGGCGAGGCCGAAAGGCGUAGUCGAUGGACAACAGGUAGAGAUUCCUGUACCCGUAUAUAUGUGAAGGAAUGACGGAGAGAGGAAGCUGCAGCCAGCGGCUGGAAGAGCUGGUGCAAGCGAGAUAUCGGGAUGGCAGGCAAAUCCACCAUCCGAAACGAGAAGGCGUGAAGCGUACGGAAAGCUACGGCGAGUACGGAAGGCAGUGGAGGAACUUCCAAGAAAAGUUUCUAACGUUAAGUAUAUAUGGCCCGUACCGAAAAUGGACACACAUGGGUGAGGAGAGAAUCCUAAGGUGAGCGAGAGAACUAUAGCUAAGGAACUCUGCAAAAUGACUCCGUAACUUAGGGAGAAGGAGUGCUCAUAGAGAUAUGAGCCGCAGUGAAACGGCCCAAGCGACUGUUUACCAAAAACACAGCUCUCUGCUAAGCCGCAAGGCGAAGUAUAGGGGGUGACGCCUGCCCGGUGCUGGAAGGUUAAGGGGAGGGGUUAACGCAAGUGAAGCCCUGAACUGAAGCCCCAGUAAACGGCGGCCGUAACUAUAACGGUCCUAAGGUAGCGAAAUUCCUUGUCAGGUAAGUUCUGACCC